AGAGUUUGAUCCUGGCUCAGGACGAAUGCUGGCGGUGUGCUUCACACAUGCAAGUCGAACGGGGUAGCAAUACCUAGUGGCGGACGGGUGAGUAACACGUAGGAAUCUGCCUUUAGGCGGGGGAUAACAAUCCGAAAGGAUUGCUAAUACCCCAUAUGCAUAAGCCUCGACGGGGGUUUAUAUGAAAGGAGCAAUCCACCUGAAGAUGAGCCUGCGUCCGAUUAGCUAGUUGGUAGGGUAAAAGCCUACCAAGGCGACGAUCGGUAGCUGGUCUGAGAGGAUGAUCAGCCACAAUGGAACUGAGACACGGUCCAUACUCCUACGGGAGGCAGCAGUGGGGAAUUUUACGCAAUGGGCGAAAGCCUGACGUAGCGACACCGCGUGAGCGACGAGGCCCUUUGGGGUGUAAAGCUCUGUCGGCUGGAACGAAAAAAAUGACGGUACCAGCAAAGGAAGCAUCGGCUAACUACGUGCCAGCAGCCGCGGUAAGACGUAGGAUGCAAGCAUUGUCCGGAUUUAUUGGGCGUAAAGAGUUCGUAGGUGGUUUGUUAAGUCUGAUGUUAAAGACCGGAGCUCAACUUCGGAACUGCAUUGGAUACUGGCAGACUAGAGUAUGGUAGAGGCAAGCGGAAUUCCCAGUGUAGCGGUGAAAUGCGUAGA
rnacentral:rRNA from 1 species